rnacentral:rRNA from 1 species
GGAGCAAACAGGAUUAGAUACCCUGGUAGUCCACGCCCUAAACGAUGUCAACUAGUUGUUGGGGAUUCAUUUCUUCAGUAACGUAGCUAACGCGUGAAGUUGACCGCCUGGGGAGUACGGUCGCAAGAUUAAAACUCAAAGGAAUUGACGGGGACCCGCACAAGCGGUGGAUGAUGUGGAUUAAUUCGAUGCAACGCGAAAAACCUUACCUACCCUUGACAUGCCACUAACGAAGCAGAGAUGCAUUAGGUGCCCGAAAGGGAAAGUGGACACAGGUGCUGCAUGGCUGUCGUCAGCUCGUGUCGUGAGAUGUUGGGUUAAGUCCCGCAACGAGCGCAACCCUUGUCUCUAGUUGCUACGAAAGGGCACUCUAGAGAGACUGCCGGUGACAAACCGGAGGAAGGUGGGGAUGACGUCAAGUCCUCAUGGCCCUUAUGGGUAGGGCUUCACACGUCAUACAAUGGUGCGUACAGAGGGUUGCCAACCCGCGAGGGGGAGCUAAUCCCAGAAAACGCAUCGUAGUCCGGAUCGUAGUCUGCAAC